rnacentral:rRNA from 1 species
UACGAAGGGGGCUAGCGUUGUUCGGAAUCACUGGGCGUAAAGCGCACGUAGGCGGAUGUGCCAGUCAGGGGUGAAAUCCCGGAGCUCAACUUCGGAACUGCCUCUGAUACAGCACGUCUUGAGUCCGGAAGAGGUGGGUGGAAUUCCUAGUGUAGAGGUGAAAUUCGUAGAUAUUAGGAAGAACACCGGUGGCGAAGGCGGCCCACUGGUCCGGUACUGACGCUGAGGUUCGAAAGCGUGGGGAGCAAACAGG